GGGGACUUGCACGUGGCUCGCCAUGAUGGCAGACUGUGAAUUGCAGUUCUCUGCUGAUCUCAAAUAAACCCAUUUUUGUGGAAGAAAUAACUGGCAGUUUUUUUAUUCCAACACUUUGGUGACUUGCGCAGGGAUCCAGAGGAGACCCCCAACAGGCUGGUGUUAAUUCUACCCAGACAGCUUUUAACUCUAUGUGUAUGAGGAGGCGGAAGCAAGACCCUUCCCUUCUAGCAAAAAAGGACCAGGAUGAAAUGGGAAACUCCGCCCACCCCAGGUUUAAUUAAUCUGGCAAAACAGCUCUCACACUCCAGGCGAGGCACCUAAAAGGGAAAUGGCUCUUCCCUUUCGGGGCCACCGCUGAAGCGCCAGCGGCCAAAAUGAGGUUCAAUCCCUUGUGACCUCUGAUUGAAGCAAGAACCGUAAAAGGCAUUUCAAUGCACCUCCCACAUUCGCAGGAAGAUUAUGUCUUUCCAAAGAGCUGAGACACAAGUACAACGUCUGAUCCAUGCCCAUCCGAAAGGACGAUGACGUUCAGGUUGUACAAGGGCACUACGAAGGGCAGCAGGCUGGCAAAGUCCAGGCUGACUGGAGAAACCGCGUCAUCUACACUGAAUGAGCGCAGUGGGAGAAGGCUCAUGGCACAACCGUCCAUGUGGGCAUUCACCCCCGCGGGGUGGUUGGUGACCACCAGACUAAAACUGGACAAGGAUCACAAAAAGACAAAUGCCACACACAUCUCGCCAAGCAGGAAAGGAAAAGGCAAAUAUAAGGAAGAAACAAUUGAAAAGAUGCAGGAAUAAAAUAAUCUUGUAUAGAACUUUCAUUAAAAACUUAAAAUGAAAAUAAUAGGUGGGGGGGGAGGUGGCUAAAAUUCUUUCUCUUCUAAUCCAGCCAAUGAAGGCUCCUAAAUGAAACCCAAACCCUCCUAGCUUCUGCUGUUAUUGCAAAGAGCCAGGACUUUGGGAAAGAGGUUGUGAUAAACUGAAGCGCUUCAGGCACCUUCAGCCUUCCAACCAGCCUUGCCAAUGUCUUCCCAGUUCUCCAUGAUGGGGCUCCAAGGACCUACAGGGGUUCUUCAAUCCUCCCUCUUAACUGGCUUAGAGAAACAUUUCUCCAGAUUGGGGGCGAAUCACCUCUAGUCCUAGCUGACACUGCAGCCACUCUCAAGGCUCAGCCUCACUACUACAAAGCAGCCCCUGGCUCAGGGUAACCAGUUCAGAGAGGGGGGCUCUCCCGGGAACUUUAAGAGGCUCCUGUCUCUGAACCUGUUCCAUUCUAUUUAGGCCCUUCGAGAUGUCACACGCUCUUUUCUCCUCAGUUCCUCAACCUCUCUCCAUGCCUCAGGCUGAGACUUCUCAGAGAAGUAUGGUGCCAGAAUUUCUUUCUCCCAAACGGGAGAAAUAAUUCCAGAAUUUUCAGUAGUCAAAGUAACCUGGCAGAUGAAUUCAGUGACCUUUUGACAUCUCUGAUUUGCUCCAUCUCUGAUGAUACUACAGCUGAUUCUGGAAACAGAUCAUUUGUCCCUAAAUCAGUUACCACCCUCCUUAUAGAAGAAAAUCAAUGGAUAUGGGCACAAUUCAUUGUGCACUUCCCAUCAACAUACAAACAGAUUCCUCGAAAGCUUUUCCCAGAAUUAAUCAACGUAUAAGAAGCCAUUCAUCCAAGACAUAAAGCCCAUAACUCAGAUUACAAGGUUCAAGGCCUCACUAUCCCUUGGACUAGCGCCCAUAUACUCCCGUCACACAGGGGACAAAACUGAAAGGUCCGGGACCUCCAAGCAACAAACACCUGCUGCUUCUCUUGACGCUAACAGCCGUUCCCACAGGAAGUAGAUUCUUUGCAGUGACGGACUUGUGCAGUGCAUUCCUUAGUAUUCCAGUUGAGGAGACUAGCCAGUGCCUUUCCGCCCUCACUUGAGAAGGAGAACUUCUCCUGGACAGUUAGUGCCUCGGGGUUUUACCGAGAGUCCUUACUUCUCACAAAUCCGAAGGCCGAUCUGGAUGACGUACAGCUCCCUGGAGGCUACACUUUGUUGUAAGGUGUGAAUGACUUGCUUCUCAAACCUCCUCAGAGGGAGUCGUCAUGCACCUGCUUAAGCCUCUAGCCUUAAAGGGCCCUACGGAGUGAGGAUAAGUUGCGGUCUGCCCAUACCCAGGUUCAUUAUUAAGGGUAUCUGAUAUCAGCACCAGGGCUACACCUAGAUCCGAACCUCACGGCGUCCGAGGUUUCCUGUGCUGAGGUUUUCUCGGGCUAGUUGGUUAUUGCCAAAAUUAGCUUCCAAAUUUCUCUCUUAUGGCCAAGCUUCUAUAUAUUUUAUUGAACAACUCUGGCCCAAUUUUAUGGGAAGAAGCAAAUGUCAAAGUUUUUUGUUUUUUCCCCAUACCUGCAGCAUGUAGAAGUCCCCAGGCCACGGAUUGAAUGUACACCACAGCAAGGACAACGCCUUUUCCUCAACCCACUAGGCCACCAGGGAACUCCUGAUGACAUAGCUUUUAAAGACUUAAAGGAGUUUAACGAACUCACCUGCCCUUGGGCAUCCCAGUGAUCAGAUUCCCUUUGUGUGUAUGAAAAGGCAGGGAAUGCUCUGAGGAGACUCACCCCAACACGGGGACCACCAUCGGCCCAGGGGGUAUUACGGCCAGCAACAGCAAUGGGACUCUGUAGCACAGAAUACCUCUCCUGCCUUCAGCCAUCACGGCCACUGGCCCUGCAGUUAAGGCCACUGAGAACAGCAUUGUGGGAUCGCCUUCAAUCACUUCCGCACCUCAUGCAAUAGCCCUCCUGCAUUCUCAUCACACUCAACACUUCUGUCAGCUGCCUCACCUCCUGGGAGCCCUUUUGCUAGUGGCUCUUCACCUAAUUCUUUUACGCUGUGAGGACUUGAACCUUGCUACCCCACUAAGGCCCUUGCAGCUGCUUAACCCUGCAGGACCACCUCCUGACGUCUCGUGAUCUCUAGGAAACUCAUGUUCAUUGAUGAUUCUUAUGUAAGAGAGAACAACGGCAGAUACUUAUGGAUCUAUUACUACAACUUCUUUUGAUGUUAUUGAGGCGGCAUCUCUAUCUAUGGCUUUUUUUGGCCCAAGGGGUUGAAUGAUAUGCUCUUACACGGGCUUAUACUUUAGCCAAGGGCAAAACUGCCAAUACUUAUGUUGAUUGUAGACAUGUUUUCGGAAUAGCUCAUUACUUUGGAAUGUUGUGGAAGCAACACGGCUUCCCCACUUCCAGCAGAAAUAAAAUUUAAAAUGGCCCCAAUGUUCAGGAUUAUUGGAUGCAAUACUCUCACCUACCCUUGAGUUACUUCUAAGAUUCCAGGGCAUUCUAAACUUGACUCUCUGGAAGCUAAGGUAAAUCACCUUGCUGAACUUUCUGCAAGAAUCACGCCCUUAAAGGAACCAACAGCAGCUAAAGGAAUGUUCUGUCAUGGUCCAAAGGGAGAUUUCCCCCAAAGGAUAACUUAAAAAACUGGCUAGAGAAGCACAAAAACCGGCCUCAGGAAAAGAAAAACAAGCUUGGAAAUCCAGUACUUACUGGUUUGAUAAAGAGAGCGCGCUGUGGUUCAGACCAAGUAACAAUCUAGUCCCACCAGAAAUUCUACAAUCCCCCUCCUCUCUAGGGGACAAGCAAGAAACCCCUGGUCUACAGACAAAACGACAGCCUUCGUGAGUCAGUACCGGCGCAGGAACAUUAACAAACAAAAAGCACCUCCCUCACUGUCCCACUUGUCUGAAGUACAAACCAGGGAAGCCUGCUUGUACUGCUCCCAGACACGUUAAACUCCUUAAAGGAGAAUCCGAGGUCUGGCGAGUGGAUUCACGCACUUCUCUGCAGCGUGAACGUAAGCGUGUGUGAGUCCGUGUUCUCACAAUGGACCGGAGCUUCCCACGGCCGAUCGGCUACCACCUCUUCUGUGGCUCGAGUCCUUCUGGAAACGAUGUUCCCCACUGAGGGACUCCCCUCAGACUUGGCAGUGACAGAGGAAGCCACGUGGCCAGCCAAGCGCUUUAACAAGUUCGCGCUGCGUGGCCAGGCUUAUCCUCUCCCUGUGCUCACCCCCCCCGCCCAGUCCGGAUUUGGUCAAACACACCAGCGGCACCAUUAAGACUCAAUCGGCCAAACAUGCAGAGGGCCUCCAACGACCUUGAUCAAAAGCACUGCUGUCAGUCCUUAUUUUUUGUCUUUUUGUGUUAUUAGGGCCGCACCCACGGCAUAUGGAGAUUCCCAGGCUAGGGGUCGAAUCGGAGCUGUCGCCGCCGGCCUACACCACAGACACAGCAACGUGGGAUCCAAGCUGCGUCUGCGACCUACACCACAGCUCACGGCAAUGCCAGACCCUUAACCCACUGAGCGAGGCCAGGGAUCGAACCUGUAUCCACAUGGAUGCUAGUUGGUUUUGUUAACCGCUGAGCCACGAUGCGAACUCCUGCUGUUGGGCCUUCUAACGAAAUCUUAGAUGCUCCUAUUUUGGAACUUAGAAGCUUUCACCCUUUGAGACAGUCACAGGAUGCCCGGUGUUCUUGGCUCCUCCCUCUUUUGACUUACAACGGAUUCCGAGAUACUCCCAUACUGCAAAGGCCUGCUAACCACCAUUCGGUAGAGCGAUCUUUCCAUAGGAACCCUUGGGAGGGGAGGGGCCGUAAGCAUCACACCUUUGCUACCUGGAGAUGUCAUCUGCUGGAAGUGACCCCUCCAGAGGAACUCUCCUUGCUGGAAAGGCGCCUAUGAGGUGCUUCUAACCAACCCUUGUGGCACAGAACUCCACGGGAUACACGUUUGGACUCACAUGACACACUUAAAAGAAAGCACCCAACCUUGUCUGGUCCCGCAACUCAUCUGCAGGGAAGUAAAGACUUCCCUGAACUGAAGCUGAUGACACGUGAUGAUGAUACAGCCGCUUCCAAAAGGUAUCUGGACCAGGCCUGGUGAACGCUUGUUACCAAACCUUUGAGGACAUAAUAUGCUUUAGAUGCUCUCUAACAGCUAGGAUCUUGGUAACCCAGGACUUGCGAUUAAAAAGUACCUGAGCACUCUCCCUCCUACCCCCUCCCUCCUACUUAAAUAUGUCAACAGAUUUCCAAUCUGUGCACAGGAAAGGGCCCUCCUUGUGCUGAGGGACAAAAGGACCCUGAAGCUGGAAAACCUAACUCAGAUCAGUGGUGCUUUCAGAAAAAGAUCUUGAUCAAAAGGGGAAAAUGUAAAAAAGUUAAUAAACAGAAACCUCAGUUCAAUAUAGUUGGGAACCCAGAAGUGGGAGCUCUCGUACCCUGUAAUGACACCAGAGGCCCUCAGGAAGAAAGCUGUCCUCUCUCUCCUGGUAGCAACGCAGCCAAUGAAAAGCCAGGGACUGGUGUUUACUAUGGCCACCCCCCACCCCCAAUUCCUUUUCCUCCUCCAUAAGUUUUCUCUCCAUUUUUUGCUGGGCACUUGUCUAUGACUUGCCGUGGCUGCAGACCCAUUCUCUGCUGACUCUGAAUAAACCCAUUUUUGCUGGAGA
rnacentral:lncRNA from 1 species